rnacentral:rRNA from 1 species
GACGAACGCUGGCGGCGUGCUUAACACAUGCAAGUCGAACGGAAAGGCCCCUUUGGCGGUACUCGCGUGGCGAACGGGGGUGUAUCACGCGAGUAACCUGUCCUUUGCUCCGCGGGAUAUUCCUGAAACUGGGGGUAAUAUCGGGGAGGAAUCCCUUCUGCAGGGUGGGGGUUGGAAAGCUUCGUCGGUUUUGGAUGGACUCGCGGCCUAUCAGCUUGUUGGUGGGGUAGUGGCCUACCAAGGCGGUGACGGGUAGCCGGCCUGAGAGGGCGAACGGCCACAUUGGGACUGAGAUACGGCCCAGACUCCUACGGGAGGCAGCAGUGGGGAAUAUUGCACAAUGGGCGGAAGCCUGAUGCAGCGACGCCGCGUGCGGGAUGACGGCCUUCGGGUUGUAAACCGCUUUCAGCAGGGGCGAAGCUUGUGGUGACGGUACCUGGAUAAGAAGCACCGGCUAACUACGUG